rnacentral:rRNA from 1 species
GAUGAACGCUGGCGGCGUGCUUAACACAUGCAAGUCGAACGAUGAAGCCCAGCUUGCUGGGUGGAUUAGUGGCGAACGGGUGAGUAACACGUGAGUAACCUGCCCUUAACUCUGGGAUAAGCCUGGGAAACUGGGUCUAAUACCGGAUAGGAGCGUCCACCGCAUGGUGGGUGUAGGAAAGAUUUAUCGGUUUUGGAUGGACUCGCGGCCUAUCAGCUUGUUGGUGAGGUAAUGGCUCACCAAGGCGACGACGGGUAGCCGGCCUGAGAGGGUGACCGGCCACACUGGGACUGAGACACGGCCCAGACUCCUACGGGAGGCAGCAGUGGGGAAUAUUGCACAAUGGGCGCAAGCCUGAUGCAGCGACGCCGCGUGAGGGAUGACGGCCUUCGGGUUGUAAACCUCUUUCAGUAGGGAAGAAGCGAAAGUGACGGUACCUGCAGAAGAAGCACCGGCUAACUACGUG